rnacentral:rRNA from 1 species
UGGUGGAUUGUUUUGUCUGGUUGAUUCUGUUAACGAGCGAGAUUUUAGUGUGUGUGUGUGUUUUAGUGCAAGUGUAAGGUGAUAACA